GGCAAGUGUCAGCAUUCCAGGGAACAUCCAUUCCUGUCAGUAAUUCCAAGACAAGCAUAAUUUCAAAAGUACUUUUAUUAGAAUAGCACCUGACACAUCUGUGGAAUUCUGAAACUAAAAUUUUUCCUGGUCUUCCAGGAUAUAUAG